GGAAGUAGAAGUCGUAACAAGGUUUCCGUAGGUGAACCUGCGGAAGGAUCAUUACUGAGUGAGGGCCCCUCGGGGUCCAACCUCCCACCCGUGUUUACCGUACCUUGUUGCUUCGGCGGGCCCGCCUCACGGCCGCCGGGGGGCAUUCGCCCCCGGGCCCGCGCCCGCCGAAGCCACCUGUGAACGCUGUCUGAAGUAUGCAGUUUGAGACAAUUAUUAAAUUAAUUAAAACUUUCAACAACGGAUCUCUUGGUUCCG
rnacentral:misc_RNA from 1 species